CGAGAGGUGACAUGAAUUUCCUCACGCGCGCGAGCAGAAAUAUGAAUAUUUAAAUUAUCUCCUCCCACUGGUUAGCAUAACAAAUGAGGCGGAAGUUUGUUUAGUCCAUAGUAGUCAAACACAGAGAUCUCAGAUCUCAAUUGCUGAUAGACUAUCGUUGCUACGGUGACUGCAAACGACCACCUUUGAAACACAACUGAAACGCAACUCACGGCUGCGCUGACAAGGGCAUUCACCUCUUUAUUAGUAAACCCAUUUUAUUUUUUGGUGGAUGAAAACAUUGUGUCAAUAUGCUAUGUCUAUGUUCGCCUUAUUCACCCGGAACGUUCUAAAGACGUUGAGGGGUACACUUCAGGGGUACAUUCGGCAACGCACCAGCUGUCAUGGCGCCUCACUGUUGUGUGCCCAAAUGUUCGUCCUCAAAGAGAAAAAAAAUCCUUCCUUGGACAGACUUUCCACCGUUUCCCCAAAGAGCAGGCACUUCGCCGUGAAUGUAUAAAUCACAUCAAGAGGGAUCCUGGUCCAUAUUUCAAGAUCAACGCUGAGACCAAGGUUUGCUCUGAGCACUUUGAGAAGCAGUGUUUUGUAAAGACCGCCCGUGGUAUCACAAAGCUUAUAAAGGAUGCUGUGCCAACUUCGCCUGGACUUCAGAGAGGCCAAAGAGGAGAAUCAUCAUUCGCAGACCGAGAGAUGAUGAACCAUUCCUGAAGUUGGACGCCAGAAUGCAGGAAGGUGCUGUUUAAGAGCCUAGGCGGUGGAAGAAGCACUUGCAGGUAUGCUACCGACCAGGCUCCUCAACAUCAAUCCGAGACGGAAGAUGAAACGGGAUGAAGCAGUUAGAUUGAGACAAGGCGGCCGGAAACUUUGAUGACCUCAAUGACACUGGCUAGGUGAAGGACAUCAACAAAAUGGCAUCAGGUCACCAGACAUCAGCUCAUAAUCCACAACGUCAUCAACCAUUUUGCGCCAAAAAUGAAGCCGUUCACAUACCAUGGCAUCCUAAGCAGGCAGCACUACACUACUGUGCAACAGUGAGAGAGAGCGGGCAAGGACAAGUAAAGCGGACCUACACUACAGCAAGACUUUGACACUUCUCCACGUUAGAGGCAGCCAUCACCCCCACCGUUGAGCAGCGGCUAUGUGUAACCCCCAAAAGAGGAGAUGAUCCGACGAUGUGUGUGUGGUGUGUGCGUGUGUGUGUGUGUGUGAUGUAUGAUAUUGUAACACUUCAGUCCUUCUUUUAUACUAUACAGUGUAUACAUAUACAUUUGUGGGUUUGUUUAAAAACCAUUGCUGAGGUUAAGAAAUGCAUUAUGACAAAUACAUCUGAUUCAGGUGUACUGUCUUUUAUUUGCCACAAAUAAAUCACAUCCUGGAAACCUGUACGAUGUGUGGAUUUAAAGAUCUGCCAGAUCUUUGUGACGGCACAGGAUUGCAGUGGAACCCAAACAUAGCCUACGAACUCCCACGCCAUCUCACCAACUGCCGAUAUGCAGUAUGCCUGAUUUUUCCUGUACAGCAAAGAAAUGUAGAGAUUGUGCCUUCAUCAAGAAUAGGUCAUUUGGAAUCACAACAAUUAUUCAAUUUACUUUGUGCGUGUGGUGUUGCUAUUGCUGUUAUUAUUAUGUUACUAGUGACCCCUUUAGUUGAGUUCAAUAGUCUACAUGAAAUCUCUGCACUUGUGUUACCACUAUUGGGAUUUGGCAAUUGCUGCAACAUGUAAAAAAGGUAGACAGAUUAGGCCCCUGCAGAUAUGGCAUGUGUAGAUGGAUUCACUAAAUUCUUUAACCACUUAAAUGGCUUGGGUCAGACAAGCU